rnacentral:rRNA from 1 species
ACGAACGCUGGCGGCGUGCCUAAUACAUGCAAGUCGAACGCUUCUUUUUCCACCGGAGCUUGCUCCACCGGAAAAAGAGGAGUGGCGAACGGGUGAGUAACACGUGGGUAACCUGCCCAUCAGAAGGGGAUAACACUUGGAAACAGGUGCUAAUACCGUAUAACAAUCGAAACCGCAUGGUUUUGAUUUGAAAGGCGCUUUCGGGUGUCGCUGAUGGAUGGACCCGCGGUGCAUUAGCUAGUUGGUGAGGUAACGGCUCACCAAGGCGACGAUGCAUAGCCGACCUGAGAGGGUGAUCGGCCACAUUGGGACUGAGACACGGCCCAAACUCCUACGGGAGGCAGCAGUAGGGAAUCUUCGGCAAUGGACGAAAGUCUGACCGAGCAACGCCGCGUGAGUGAAGAAGGUUUUCGGAUCGUAAAACUCUGUUGUUAGAGAAGAACAAGGAUGAGAGUAACUGUUCAUCCCUUGACGGUAUCUAACCAGAAAGCCACGGCUAACUACGUGCCAGCAGCCGCGGUAAUACGUAGGUGGCAAGCGUUGUCCGGAUUUAUUGGGCGUAAAGCGAGCGCAGGCGGUUUCUUAAGUCUGAUGUGAAAGCCCCCGGCUCAACCGGGGAGGGUCAUUGGAAACUGGGAGACUUGAGUGCAGAAGAGGAGAGUGGAAUUCCAUGUGUAGCGGUGAAAUGCGUAGAUAUAUGGAGGAACACCAGUGGCGAAGGCGGCUCUCUGGUCUGUAACUGACGCUGAGGCUCGAAAGCGUGGGGAGCAAACAGGAUUAGAUACCCUGGUAGUCCACGCCGUAAACGAUGAGUGCUAAGUGUUGGAGGGUUUCCGCCCUUCAGUGCCGCAGCUAACGCAAUAAGCAUUCCGCCUGGGGAGUACGACCGCAAGGUUGAAACUCAAAGGAAUUGACGGGGGCCCGCACAAGCGGUGGAGCAUGUGGUUUAAUUCGACGCAACGCGAAGAACCUUACCAGGUCUUGACAUCCUUUGACCACUCUAGAGAUAGAGCUUCCCCUUCGGGGGCAAAGUGACAGGUGGUGCAUGGUUGUCGUCAGCUCGUGUCGUGAGAUGUUGGGUUAAGUCCCGCAACGAGCGCAACCCUUAUUGUUAGUUGCCAUCAUUUAGUUGGGCACUCUAGCAAGACUGCCGGUGACAAACCGGAGGAAGGUGGGGAUGACGUCAAAUCAUCAUGCCCCUUAUGACCUGGGCUACACACGUGCUACAAUGGGAAGUACAACGAGUCGCAAAGUCGCGAGGCUAAGCUAAUCUCUUAAAGCUUCUCUCAGUUCGGAUUGUAGGCUGCAACUCGCCUACAUGAAGCCGGAAUCGCUAGUAAUCGCGGAUCAGCACGCCGCGGUGAAUACGUUCCCGGGCCUUGUACACACCGCCCGUCACACCACGAGAGUUUGUAACACCCGAAGUCGGUGAGGUAACCUUUUGGAGCCAGCCGCCUAAGGUGGGAUAGAUGAUUGGGGUG